AUCAUGCAGACCUGAGUGUGAACUCUGGCUUCACUGUGCACCCACUGGGAGGUUGGGUGAUUUAGUGAAAUGCUCUGCACUUCAAGUUCCUCAUUUGUUAGCAGGGAUUUAUAGUCUGCUUUGCACAGGCUUUGGCUGAAGAUGAAAUGUGACAGCUGUGUAAAGCUUAAAUAUGGUCCCUGGCACAUAGUCAGUGAUAAGUACCCCCCCCCCCCCCCGACUCUGAGGCUCUGCCCGGACCCUUGCCUGAGCUCCCGCUUCCUUUUUCUGUGCCCCUUAGUAUCUUAAUUCCUGUCACAGGAGGUAUUUGGGCCUAUUUUCUGAGCAAGUGCCAGCCCCACACCACCAUUUCUACCUCCUUCUGCCCCACUUCCACCCUUCACUUCUAGGUCUGUGGAGCCAAACCUGAGGGUCCGGACUCCUGCUGGAUGGGACCCUAUAUCCCAGGGACAUGGAAGAUCCAAACACAGUCCUCUGGCAGACUCUGCACUAUUAACUACUGAUUUGAGGGCAGUGAAUCCCCUGUGGUCUGUCUAGGGGGCAGGUGAUCAAGACUGUGGCAACAAGGGCGUUAGACCUUGCUGCUCAAAGUGCGCUCUGUGGACGGCAACACUGGCAUCACCUGCAAGCUUGUUAGAAAUGCAGAAUCCUGGGCCACUGAAUCAGAAUCUGCGUCUUAACAAGAUCUCUGGUGAUCCAUUUUCUGGUGGAUAUCAAGGCUUGAGAAGCCCUGGACUGGACCCCAGAAGACAAGGGCCCCGGGAAUCAUUUCUACAAGAGAACGUGGAUUCUUCAUUCCAGGGAUGAGCAUUGGUUUCUAACAGAGAACCCAAUAGCCAUUGCAGGACCUGCUGAGCAGCCUUUGUGAAGGAAAGCUCCAAGGAGGACAGGACACAGCACAAUGAGACGCUCAGCACUGACACAGCAUUCUGCACUUUGCACAAUUAAGGCUCUCACCUCUCCUCACCCUGCAGGGAGAAGGUGGCAGUAUUGACAGGUCUUGAUGGCUGAGGCAGAGGCAGAGAAAAACAGCCAACAGAGUGUUACCUCAGAGAGUGUGUGCUGUGAAUAAGGAGACCAGGAAAAUACAGCCAAGAAAAUGAAACAGUCUUGAGCUGACCCUGGAAGCAAAUUUCAUAGGUAGUAUUUCAAUAAUGAGAAGAAAACUUCAUUGUUCUCGCUGAAGAUCCUUGGC